UACGAAGGGGGCUAGCGUUGUUCGGAAUUACUGGGCGUAAAGCGCACGUAGGCGGAUAUUUAAGUCAGGGGUGAAAUCCCAGAGCUCAACUCUGGAACAGCCUUUGAUACUGGGUAUCUUGAGUAUGGAAGAGGUGAGUGGAAUUCCGAGUGUAGAGGUGAAAUUCGUAGAUAUUCGGAGGAACACCAGUGGCGAAGGCGGCUCACUGGUCCAUUACUGACGCUGAGGUGCGAAAGCGUGGGGAGCAAACAGG
rnacentral:rRNA from 1 species